GCAGGGGUUAGCAGCUGGGGUAUAGGAGGAUCAGUUGUGGCUAUAAAAAAAUGUGGCAUGAGGAAUACUUGUGGUGACUGAAGUUCUACAUCUUGAAUGUAGUGGAGGUAACAUGAAUCUACACAUGAUACAACUGUAUUGAACUAAAUGCACACACACACAAAUGCAUGUUAAACCUGUGAAUUCUACAUAAGGUCACUAGAU
rnacentral:lncRNA from 10 species